AUUUUCCUCUUUUUUUGUGGCACAGAUGUUUUAAAAAAUUGAAGUCUGUUUUCAGUAGCCAUCAUUUAUAGAUGGGUAUUUUAUUUUUGGAAUCCAGUGACUAUCAUGUAAACCAAAGUCACUUCUGUAAAGUCAUUUUGAUCAGAUUUAUUGUGACAAAAGUGUCUUUUAAAAGGAAAUAAUCUGCAUGCAUGAUUGUUUUUAACCAAUGUCAGGUCCCAGGAAAAUAUAAUUAAAAUAAUUGUGUAGUUAGGUCCUUUCUGAGAUAAUCCCUUCUGAAUGUUAAUUCAUGUAAUGUAGGGGCUGUGCUUUCAUAGGACUGCUCCCAUGGUAACUUGGGGGCUUUGAAAAAGAAGGUGGCAGGGUUCCAGGAGCAAGUCUGGAAGGACAGCUCCUGGGCCCUAUGUGUGGUUUUGUGGUUGUGGGUGACUUUUGAAAGUUUUGAUGUAUAUACUGAGGAAAACUAGUGCCUUUCAAAGAAAGUUAUUUCUCUCUUAUGAGGAAGAUAAAUAGUAUGUAGUGUUGAGGUGCAUUUGGUUGUCAUUUUUCUGAUUUGUCUAUUUUAAGAUGAUAGAUUUUAGAGUAAUCAAAGUAGAUAUCUUGAAA
rnacentral:lncRNA from 1 species